rnacentral:rRNA from 1 species
UACGUAGGGGGGCGAGCGUUGUCCGGAUUUAUUGGGCGUAAAGAGCGUGUAGGCGGCCAGGUAGGUCCGCUGUGAAAACUUGAGGCUCAACCUCGAGAUGUCGGCGGAAACCCCCUGGCUAGAGUCCGGAAGAGGAGAGUGGAAUUCCCGGUGUAGCGGUGAAAUGCGCAGAUAUCGGGGAAGAACACCCGUGGCGAAGGCGGCUCUCUGGGACGGUACUGACGCUGAGA